rnacentral:rRNA from 1 species
AUUGAACGCUGGCGGCAGGCCUAAUACAUGCAAGUCGAACGCAGUGGGGACGGGUGAGUAACACGUGGGUAACCUCCCAUCAGAGGGGAUAACACUUGGAAACAGGUGCUAAACCGAUACUGAUGGAUGGACCCGCUGUGCAUUAGCUAGUUGGUGAGGUAACGGCUCACCAAGGCCACGAUGCAUAGCCGGCCUGAGAGGGGGAUCGGACAAACUGGAACUGAGACACGGCCCAGACUCCUACGGGAGGCAGCAGUAGGGAAUAUUGGGCAAUGGACGAAAGUCUGACCGAGCAACGCCGCGUGAGUGAAGAAGGUUUUCGGAUCGUAAAACUCUGUUGUUAGAGAAGCGGUAUCUAACCAGAAAGUCACGGCUAACUACGGGCCAGCCGCCGCGGUAAUAC